UUAAAUGAAUUGACGGGGCCCGCACAAGCGGUGAGCAUGUGGUUUAAUUCGAUGCAACGCGAAGAACCUUACCUGGGCUUGACAUCCACGGAACCUGCUGGAAACAGUGGGUGCCUUUCGGGGAGCCGUGAGACAGGUGCUGCAUGGCUGUCGUCAGCUCGUGUCGUGAGAUGUUGGGUUAAGUCCCGCAACGAGCGCAACCCUUGUCUUUAAUUGCCAUCAUUAAGUUGGGCACUUUAAAGAGACUGUCGGUGUUAAACCGGAGGAAGGUGGGGAUGACGUCAAGUCCUCAUGGCCUUUAUGCCCAGGGCUACACACGUGCUACAAUGGCCGGUACAAAGGGUAGCAAGACCGCGAGGUGGAGCCAACCCCAAAAAGCCGGUCUCAGUUCGGAUUGGAGUCUGCAACUCGACUCCAUGAAGUUGGAAUCGCUAGUAAUCGUGGAUCAGCAUGCCACGGUCGAAUACGUUCCCGGGCCUU
rnacentral:rRNA from 1 species